UACAGAGGGGGCAAGCGUUGUUCGGAAUUACUGGGCGUAAAGGGCGCGUAGGCGGCCCGCUAAGUCGAACGUGAAAUCCCCGAGCUCAACUCGGGAACUGCGUCCGAUACUGGUGGGCUUGAAUCCGGGAGAGGGAUGCGGAAUUCCAGGUGUAGCGGUGAAAUGCGUAGAUAUCUGGAGGAACACCGGUGGCGAAGGCGGCAUCCUGGACCAACACUGACGCUGAGUGAGCGAAAGCCAGGGGAGCAAACGGG
rnacentral:rRNA from 1 species